GUGAGUGACCUGCCUUUUAGACUGGAACAACUUACCGAAAGGUGAGCUAAUGCCGGAUGAGUUAUAUAAGUGCAUGUUUAUAUAGGAAAAGUUGGGGAGACCUGACGCUGAAAGAUGGACUCGCGUCCCAUUAGCUAGUUGGUAGGGUAAUGGCCUACCAAGGCGACGAUGGGUAGCCGGCCUGAGAGGGUGGCCGGCCACACUGGGACUGAGACACGGCCCAGACUCCUACGGGAGGCAGCAGUGGGGAAUUUUGCGCAAUGCUCGUAAGAGUGACGCAGCGACGCCGCGUGAAUGACGAAGGCCUUCGGGUCGUAAAGUUCUUUCGACAGGGAAGAAAAUGCCUAUAAGUAACUGUGUAUGUAUUGACGGUACCUGUAUAAGCAGCCCCGGCUAACUCCGUGCCAGCAGCCGCGGUAAUACGGAGGGGGCGAGCGUUGUUCGGAGUGACUGGGCGUAAAGAGCACGUAGGCGGUGUUGUAAGUCAUUAGUCAAAGACUAGAGCUCAACUUUAGUAAGGCUAGUGAUACUAUAAUACUAGAGUAUCAGAGAGGAUUGCAGAAUUCCUGGUGUAGCGGUGAAAUGCGUAGAUAUCAGGAGGAAUACCGUUAGCGAAGGCGGCAAUCUGGCUGGAAACUGACGCUGAAGUGCGAAAGCGUGGGUAGCAAACAGGAUUAGAUACCCUGGUAGUCCACGCUGUAAACGAUGGAUGCUAGGUGUUGGGCUU
rnacentral:rRNA from 1 species